GGGAAAAAAUGAGAAUACUAUAGCUGAUUAACUUACUGUUUAGUUCUCUUAAAAAUAUCUACCCUCUUAUGGUUAGAAUUCUGGCGUGAAAAUCGGGAGGACUGCCUAGUACUGCCAAUUCUGACGGUGACCUGCUAGUUGGUGUACAAUCAAGUCAGCUGCUUACAUGGAUAAAAAAUGCAAUGCAUAGCUUAUUAACAAAUAUGUG
rnacentral:lncRNA from 1 species